rnacentral:rRNA from 1 species
GAUCCUGGCUCAGGACGAACGCUGACGGCGCGCCUAACACAUGCAAGUCGAACGGAGCUGAGAGAAGCUUGCUUUUCUUAGCUUAGUGGCGAACGGGUGAGUAACGCGUGAGUAACCUGCCCUGGAGUGGGGGACAACAGUUGGAAACGACUGCUAAUACCGCAUAAGCCCACGAUCCGGCAUCGGAUUGAGGGAAAAGGAUUUAUUCACUUCAGGAUGGACUCGCGUCCAAUUAGCUAGUUGG